rnacentral:tRNA from 1 species
AAAUAAGUAAGCUAAACCAAUAAGCUUUUAGACUCAUAUUCUAACUAUAGAAUUAAAUUCUCUUAUUUA